rnacentral:lncRNA from 1 species
AUCCCUCUAACGCCUUGUUGUAGGAGGAUGCACAUCCAGGAGUGGUACACCAGAUAACCUGAUCUUCCCACCUAUGUCUGGCUCCCAGAGCAGCAGGGAGGGGAUCGUGGGCAUUGUUAGUUAAGCUGCUUCUCCCCCACUAGCACUGCAGUUUCCAUCUAGCCCUGUCGUCCUGGGUCUUCUAACUGCCAUCAGCAACUGUCUACUUUAACUGUUAUUUCUAGGACCUCUUGAAUCCACAACUGCAAUCCUGAAGAGAAAUGCAGGCACAAAAGAGCAGAUGAAAGUUUUCAUGCGGAAAGGAAAUGAAUAAUUGCUCUUGCAUAAAAACAAAGCGAGCUAUAAAUCAUACCUACAAGCCAAGCGAGAGAAUUUGCAGAACAACAAAAUACCCCCCCAGAACAAACAAACCAAAAUCUUACAAUCACCUGGAAGUACAGCCAACUCAAAGAGCAAGUCACCAAGCAGAUGCAAGAAUUCUUCACAUCAUGACCAUCAGCAGUCUAGGAAGAGGCAUAAGUAUGAGGACCUCCACAAAAACCUUACUGCCAGAAACCGCAUGUAAGAAGAGC